CUCAUUAAUUUUUCUAACCCUUCUCCAACCGAAUUUUUUCUUUCUGCAGUCUUAUUAAAAUAAAUGUUGGUGAAGAGAAUAACAUUUAUUUUCUGCAGUCUUAACUCUCAAUUCUAUUAAUUCCAUUCCCCCUUCACAGUCCACUUUUCUCAACCAUAAUUCAACCACCCUUCCCAAAUUUAAUCCAAAAAUUUAUUACCAUCAGCUUAUAUAACAACAUCAUCUCCUACAAGGAAAAAUUGUGGUGAAGAGAACAACAAGAAGAAAAAAUUCUGCUCAAAAGAUAACAACAACAACAAGGUAUGUGUGAUCAAUAAAGGGUAAAAGUGUUUUUUGAAACAUAUCACAAACAAUAUCCAGCAACUCAACAACAAAACCCUCAUCAUGUUCUUCAAUAUGCAUCUAUAGAUAGGUAGUGUUGGCUCAUUUUAUCUUUUAUUUUUCCUAUCAUACUUUGUGUACAUAGCAUUAUGGCUACGCAAAGGAAAGUUUCCGCGGAUCCUCCUUCAAGUAAUGAUAAGGGUACAUUGGUCCAUAUAGAUGUGAACGAUAUCAUCUUCCUGAAUUUAGGCGUUCUAACGGAUUCGCAAAUCAUAAUGAAGUAUUUAAUUAUUAUCACUCUAGUUUAAGGUGCACAAUAGAAAGAACUUUUGGGGUAUGGAAGAACAGAUUUGCAAUCCUACGUCGAAUGCCUAAGUUUAAAUUUGAGACUCAAGUUCAAAUAGUUGUCGCAACAAUGGCUAUACACAACUUUAUCCGAAGGAAGGCAGAAAAUGAUAUGGAUUUUAAUGUUUAUGAAGAUGAAAGCACAGUCAUUCAUCAUGAUGAUAGCUCAUCUAACUUGGAUCAAUCACAAGUUUUAAAUGUAGUUUCGUCGUCAGAGAUGGAUCGCGUUCGAAACAUAAUCCGCAAUGAAAUUAUUGAGCACAGGCAAAAUAAUUAGUAUUGUACUUUAAAUUAUUAUAUCAAUAUUUUAGUACUAUAAUACACAUUAUGUUAGUUUUGUAAUAAUAUUUUAAUACUCUAUUGCACUUUAAAUUCUAUUA